CCCGCUGAACUUAAGCAUAUCAAUAAGCGGAGGAAAAGAAACCAACAGGGAUUGCCUCAGUAACGGCGAGUGAAGCGGCAACAGCUCAAAUUUGAAAUCUGGCCUCGGCCCGAGUUGUAAUUUGCAGAGGAUGCUUUUGGCGCGGCGCCUUCGGAGUUCCCUGGAACGGGACGCCAUAGAGGGUGAGAGCCCCGUAUCGUUGGACGCCUAGCCUCUGUAUAGCACCUUCGACGAGUCGAGUAGUUUGGGAAUGCUGCUCAAAAUGGGAGGUAAAUUUCUUCUAAAGCUAAAUACCGGCCAGAGACCGAUAGCGCACAAGUAGAGUGAUCGAAAGAUGAAAAGCACCUUGAAAAGAGGGUUAAAAAGCACGUGAAAUUGUUGAAGGGGAAGGGCUUGUGACCAGACUUGUGCUUCGCGAAUCAUCCGGCGUUCUCGCCGGUGCACUUUGCGUCGUCCAGGCCAGCACCGGUCCUGCCAGGGGGAUAAAAGCCUGGGGAACGUGGCUCCUUCGGGAGUGUUAUAGUCCCUUGCACAAUAUCUCUGGCGGGACCGAGGUACGCGCUCUGCAAGGGUGCUGGCGUAAUGGUUAUCAGCCGCCCGUCUUGAAACACGG
rnacentral:rRNA from 1 species